CAGGAUGACGGUCCUAUGGAUUGUAAACUGCUUUUAUACGAGAAGAAACACUGCUUCGUGAAGCAGCUUGACGGUAUCGUAAGAAUAAGGAUCGGCUAACUCCGUGCCAGCAGCCGCGGUAAUACGGAGGAUCCAAGCGUUAUCCGGAAUCAUUGGGUUUAAAGGGUCCGUAGGCGGUUUAAUAAGUCAGUGGUGAAAGCCCAUCGCUCAACGGUGGAACGGCCAUUGAUACUGUUAAACUUGAAUUAUUAGGAAGUAACUAGAAUAUGUAGUGUAGCGGUGAAAUGCUUAGAGAUUACAUGGAAUACCAAUUGCGAAGGCAGGUUACUACUAAUGGAUUGACGCUGAUGGACGAAAGCGUGGGUAGCGAACAGGAUUAGAUACCCUGGUAGUCCACGCCGUAAACGAUGGAUACUAGCUGUUGGAAGCAAUUUCAGUGGCUAAGCGAAAGUGAUA
rnacentral:rRNA from 1 species